rnacentral:rRNA from 1 species
CCAAAAAUUUAGCCACACCCUCCCCACGUACUUCUCUCCAACAAAUUAAAAUAUUUUAACGACUUAGUAAGGACGACCAAAAAGUUACCUAGAGCAAUAAAUUUACCGCAAGGAAAAAAUGAAAUAAAAUGAAAUAAUAUUUAAGCACCUAAUAGUAGAGACUCAUACUCGUACCUUUUGCAUCAUGGUUUAACUAGUCAAAUCAAGCAAAAAGACUUGCAGUCUGACCUCCCGAAACUAAAUGAGCUACCUCAGGACAGCUUAAUGAGCAAACCCAUCUCUGUUGCAAAAGAGUGGGAAGAUCCUAAGGUAGAGAUGAUAUAUUUAACGAAUUUAGCGAUAGCUGGUUAUUCAGGAAAAGAAUUUUAGUUCAACCUAAAGUCACUAAAAAUAUUUAAAAUAAAUACAAACUUGACUUUAGAGCUACUCAAAUAAGUCACAGCCUAUUUGAGAAAGGAUACAGCCUAGACCUACGGGUUUUAACAACAUAUUAUGCAGAUAAGUGGGCCUAAAAGCAGCCACCUCUUAAAAAGCGUCACAGCUUAAUUACUAACUUGUACAAAUACAAAAACUUCUAUAGAACCCUACACCUCUACUGAAUGAUCCUAUAUCACUAUAGGACCCCUUAUGUUAAAACUAGUAACAAGAAACAACUUCUCUUAUAUGUGAACAUAAAUCAGAAUGAAAAACUCACUGAUAAUUAACAGUCUUAAUAUUUAGUAAUACCCACCAAGAGAAACCUACUUAAACAACUGUUAACCUAACACAAGAACAUACGAAGAAAGAUUAAAAGAAGAGGAAGGAACUCGGCAAAUACUGAUUCCGCCUGUUUACCAAAAACAUCGCCUCCUGUAAUUUAUAAGAGGUACAGCCUGCCCAGUGACCCAGUUUAACGGCCGCGGUACCCUAACCGUGCUAAGGUAGCAUAAUCACCUGUUUUUUAAUUGAAGACCAGUAUGAAAGGCACCACGAGAAUCACACUGUCUCCCCUUUUUAAUCAGUGAAACUAAUCUUCCCGUGAAAAAGCGGAAAUAUCUUUACAAGACGAGAAGACCCUUUGGAGCUUAAGACAAUAGUACAAUAUUGCUACCUCUAACUAAACCUAUACCCUUUAGCACUCAUUAACUAGUCUUUGGUUGGGGCAACCACGGAGCAAAAAACAACCUCCGAGAUGUGACGGAACCCCCUAAACAAAAAGCCACAACUUUAUGUAUCAAUAAAAUGACAUUAAAUGACCCAAUACUUUGAUUAUCGAACCAAGUUACCCUAGGGAUAACAGCGCAAUCCACUUCAAGAGUUCAUAUCGACAAGUGGGCUUACGACCUCGAUGUUGGAUCUAGGUACCCUAGUGGUGCAGCCGCUACUAAAGGUUCGUUUGUUCAACGAUUAAAACCUCACGUGAUCUGAGUUCAGACCGGAGCAAUCCAGGUCAGUUUCUAUCUGUAAUAAAGCUAUCUCCAGUACGAAAGGACAGUCAUAGCACGGCCUAUGAAAUAUUUAUGCCGUUUUAAUCAACUAAUGAUGUUUCUCAAUAAGUUACAUUUCUAUACCCCUCAAGACCAGAGCA